rnacentral:RNase_P_RNA from 1 species
UGAGAUCCCCCGAUGGUCGCGGCCCGUCCCAUGGAUGGGCUGAGGAACUUCCGGGCUCCGCAGAGCACGAUGGCGGAUAACGUCCGCCCAGGGUGACCUGAGAGAUAGCGCAGCAGAGAACAGACCGCCGUCCGGCUUGCCGGGCGGUAAGGGUGAAACGGCGGUGUAAGAGACCACCGGGCCUCCGGCAACGGCAGGCCGCAUGGCAAGCCUCAUCGGGAGCAAGGCCAAGCAGAGGACUAUGGGGUUGCUCGCCCGCGUCCUCGGGUAGGCUGCUAGAGCCUGGCGGCGACGUCAGGUCGAGAUGGAUGGCCAUCCGCGCGCGCCUUCGGCGCGCGCGACAGAACCCGGGGUAUAGGGGAUCUCAACAU